AUGAAUCCAUCCACCGCGGCUUUAUCAUUUCAUCUCCAACGACCGCCAUUCUUCACUUGCUACGAUUCCACUCUGAACCCCCAUCUCGAAUCUCCUUCGAUCACAACAACGAAAUUCUUCUCACGAAUGGCGUACUGCCAUCAUACAUCAUCGUCUUUGCAAUUGAUGGAUUCCACUUCGAAGAUUUCAUCGUCACUCCUCUUCCCGGCUUGUCGUCUAAAUUUAUCUCCUUCGUGUCUUUGUCAGCCAAAGAAUUUUCAUCGAUUUUCCAAGCCGAAGAUGAUGACGAGUGAACUAGAGAAUAUCGGCUAA
rnacentral:lncRNA from 1 species